rnacentral:rRNA from 1 species
AACGAACGCUGGCGGCGUGGAUAAGACAUGCAAGUCGAACGAGAGAAUUGCUAGCUUGCUAAUAAUUCUCUAGUGGCGCACGGGUGAGUAACACGUGAGUAACCUGCCCCCGAGAGCGGGAUAGCCCUGGGAAACUGGGAUUAAUACCGCAUAGUAUCGAAAGAUUAAAGCAGCAAUGCGCUUGGGGAUGGGCUCGCGGCCUAUUAGUUAGUUGGUGAGGUAACGGCUCACCAAGGCGAUGACGGGUAGCCGGUCUGAGAGGAUGUCCGGCCACACUGGAACUGAGACACGGUCCAGACACCUACGGGUGGCAGCAGUCGAGAAUCAUUCACAAUGGGGGAAACCCUGAUGGUGCGACGCCGCGUGGGGGAAUGAAGGUCUUCGGAUUGUAAACCCCUGUCAUGUGGGAGCAAAUUAAAAAGAUAGUACCACAAGAGGAAGAGACGGCUAACUCUGUGCCAGCAGCCGCGGUAAUACAGAGGUCUCAAGCGUUGUUCGGAAUCACUGGGCGUAAAGCGUGCGUAGGCUGUUUCGUAAGUCGUGUGUGAAAGGCGCGGGCUCAACCCGCGGACGGCACAUGAUACUGCGAGACUAGAGUAAUGGAGGGGGAACCGGAAUUCUCGGUGUAGCAGUGAAAUGCGUAGAUAUCGAGAGGAACACUCGUGGCGAAGGCGGGUUCCUGGACAUUAACUGACGCUGAGGCACGAAGGCCAGGGGAGCGAAAGGGAUUAGAUACCCCUGUAGUCCUGGCAGUAAACGGUGCACGCUUGGUGUGCGGGGAAUCGACCCCCUGCGUGCCGGAGCUAACGCGUUAAGCGUGCCGCCUGGGGAGUACGGUCGCAAGAUUAAAACUCAAAGAAAUUGACGGGGACCCGCACAAGCGGUGGAGUAUGUGGCUUAAUUCGAUGCAACGCGAAGAACCUUACCUGGGCUUGACAUGUAAUGAACAACAUGUGAAAGCAUGCGACUCUUCGGAGGCGUUACACAGGUGCUGCAUGGCCGUCGUCAGCUCGUGUCGUGAGAUGUUUGGUUAAGUCCAGCAACGAGCGCAACCCCUGUUGCCAGUUACCAGCACGUGAAGGUGGGGACUCUGGCGAGACUGCCCAGAUCAACUGGGAGGAAGGUGGGGAGGACGUCAGGUCAGUAUGGCCCUUAUGCCCAGGGCUGCACACGUACUACAAUGCCCAGUACAGAGGGGGCGGAAGCCGCGAGGCGGAGGAAAUCCUGAAAACUGGGCCCAGUUCGGACUGUAGGCUGCAACCCGCCUACACGAAGCCGGAAUCGCUAGUAAUGGCGCAUCAGCUACGGCGCCGUGAAUACGUUCCCGGGUCUUGCACA